rnacentral:rRNA from 1 species
UCGAGAGGGUUCGGCCCUCGGCUGACGGCUCAGUAACACGUGGAUAAUCUGCCCUAGGGUGGAGGAUAACCUCGGGAAACUGAGAAUAAUACUCCAUAGGUCUAAGAUGCUGGAAUGCAUUUAGACUGAAAACUCCGGUGCCCUAGGAUGAGUCUGCGGACUAUCAGGUUGUAGUCAGGGUAAUGACCUGACUAGCCUACGACGGAUACGGGUUGUGAGAGCAAUAACCCGGAGAUGAUAUCUGAGACACGAUAUCAGGCCCUACGGGGCGCAGCAGGCGCGAAAACUUCACAAUGUGCGAAAGCGCGAUGAGGGAAUCCCAAGUGCAUGCACGUAAGUGUAUGCUGUUUCUUUGUUUAAAAAGCAUAGAGAGUAAGGGCUGGGUAAGACUGGUGCCAGCCGCCGCGGUAACACCAGCAGCCCAAGUGGUGGCCACGAUUAUUGGGCCUAAAGCGCUCGUAGCCGGGUCAGCAAGUCCCUUGUGAAAUCGGGCCGCCUAACGGUUCGGCGUGCAAGGGAUACUGUUGGUCUUGAGGCCGGGAGAGGUCGGAGGUACUCCUGGGGUAGCGGUGAAAUGCUCUAAUCCUAGGGGGACCACCAGUGGCGAAGGCGUCCGACCAGAACGGACCUGACGGUGAGGGGCGAAGGCUAGGGGAGCGAACGGGAUUAGAUACCCCGGUAGUCCUAGCUGUAAAGCAUGCGGGCCAGGUGUCUAGCGCUCCUUGAGGGCGCUAGGUGC